rnacentral:rRNA from 1 species
AUGUGGAAGCAUAGUAAUGUGUGGAGCUGACUGGUACUAAUAAGCCGAUGACUUGACUUU